CAAAUACUCCCUCUGUCCGGAAAUACUUGUCAUCAAAAUGGAUAAAAGGAAAUGUAUCUAGACGUAUUUUAGUUUUAGAUACAUCUCUUUUUAUCCAUUUUGAUGACAAGUAUUUUCGGAUGGAGGGAGUAUUUA
rnacentral:pre_miRNA from 1 species